AAGGCCUUCGGGUUGUAAAGCUCUUUUACCCGGGACGAAAAUGACGGGACCGGAAGAAUAAGCCCCGGCUAGCUCCGUGGCCAGGAGCCGCGGUAAUAU
rnacentral:rRNA from 1 species